AAAGAAGUAAAUAAGAGCGUAUGGGGAAUGCCUAGGCUCUCAGAGGCGAUGAAGGACGUGAUAAGCUGCGAAAAGCUGCGGGGAUUGGCAAAUACAAAUUGAUCCGCAGAUGUCCGAAUGGGGCAACCCGGUGUAAUGAAGUUACAUCACUGCCGUAGUAAUACGGCAAGAGCAAACCCGGAGAACUGAAACAUCUAAGUACCCGGAGGAAGAGAAAACAACAGUGAUUGCGCAAGUAGUGGCGAGCGAACGCGCAAGAGCCCAAACCUGACAAGUUAAGGCUUGUCGGGGGUUAUAGGACCUUAACAUUGACUACACUAUUAAUUUGAACUGCGUGGGAAAGCAGGCCAUAGAAGGUGAGAGCCCUGUAAGAGUAAAGUAGUGUUACAUAGAGGUAUCCUGAGUAGGGCGGGGUCGGAGACGCCCCGUUUGAAUUUGCCGGCACCAUCCGGUAAGGCUAAACACUCCUGAGAGACCGAUAGUGAACCAGUACUGUGAAGGAAAGGUGAAAAGUACCGUGAACAACGGGG
rnacentral:rRNA from 1 species